GACGUGGACAAAAGGACGCGGAACUGAGCGCGCAAAGGGUGUUGAGGCUCAGGGCUGGGAGAGGCAGAGCCUGCACGCCGCGUUAAAUGGGAGCGCUCCGGGCUGCCGAGCGGGAAAGGCCACAGGCCUUAAAAUGCUGCUCACAAGAGGCUGGCAGGCAAUAAAUACCCACAUACUGUGUGAGGAGAGACUGCGGGAGCUGGGCCUGGUGCGACCUCACAUAAACCAGGCAGGGGAGGUGCACCAAAAUGGGAUAAUUUCCCACCAGAACUCAUACUGAAACCCUAAUUAAUAUUGAAAAGUCUGUGCUGUGCCAUGUCUUCAAAUCCUUGGAAUUUGGCUCUGUGCAUCAACCAAAACUGCUCCAGACUGAAGGAGGUGAAGUAAUCAAGUCCCUCUGUGUGCUGCCACCAAAGCCAAUGUAUGGACAGAAUGCCAGCAAUGCCAGGGCACCCAGACACGAGAGUGAAAUCUGAAGGAUCCUCACACAAAGGAUGCCCACAAAUGCAGUGCCUGAAGUAUCUCCUCCACCCACAAGCUGUGUCCUUCCUUGCUUCCUGACAGCUGCCCUGCUCUGCACUUGCCCUGAACCAGCUGCUGCUUCCUGACACAAGUUCCACCUGCAGGGCGCUCUGGCUUCCCCUGAACAGCAGGAUGCUGCUCUCACCCAGAAUUCAGCAGAAGGCAAAUACAGAAAUACAAAGUUCCUGGACAGGCAGGAUCUCUGGCAAGUGCCUGCCCUCAUCCAGGGAACAGCACAGGAAUAUUCCCCCUUGAGCACAUGUCAGCAGGCAGAUUUGAUUGUACAUUGUAAAGGUGACUCCCCAAAUUAUUUGGAGGAGGCUUGAAUAAGAAACUUUAUUCUGGUCUUAGAAAAAGUUAAGGCUUUUCCAAAUCCUACAAAAAGCAUCUGAAAUUGGAUAAAGGUAGAAACUCACCAGUGUGGGUGUAAACCAGACACUCCUCCUGAUGGAAUGCCCACCUUUGGGAGACAUGGGAUUAACAGCAGAUGUAGCUGCUUGGGGCCCUCAGUAAUUCCUUCUUCUAACACAAGAUUAUUGUCACAGAGUCAGCUGGAAAGUGAAGCCACUGGCACCAGAGUUUACAGAGAACUUUGGGUGAAACAGAGCAGAGAUGUCACACAGCCCUUCCUUCCCACAUCCCUGCCACCCUCACUUAUUUGCAGCAGCCUCAAAAUCUUCCCAUGAUCCAGCAGAGACACAGGGAAUCCCAGUAAUGGGACUUCCAUCUUCUUUCCAUUUGGCCAGAUCCCUCAGGCAGUGGGAGCAGCUGCAGACACAACUCUUGCCAUGAGCAGGACUCGGUAGCAUUCUGUGAUGUCACCUCUCAGAGUCAGGAGGGCUGACACGAGGGGGGGGUCACUGGUCUGCAGAGAGAACCACACAGGAACCCAGCUGGUCUUUUGGACACAGGAGACACGAGUGGAUCACUUCUAAACUCUGUUUCACUGCUCAGUGUUCAGGGUACCAGUUAUAGCUACAGGUGACAGGUGACAGCCUCUGUGCUGGCUCCUCUCUGUCCCCAAGUGAUGCUCCUGCUGCAGCCAGUGAGGUAUGACAGUGACUCAGCACUGUCCCCAGAGUGCCACAGAGGCUGUCCCCACGUCACAGCCAGGCACAGCAGAAGCUCAGAGCUCCCAGAGGGGGCUGGAAGGAAACGGAUCCUGUCAGCCCCCAAAUGAACGAGCAGCCCUCUGCACACUGUAGGAUCCCACACAGCCCCUGGCACAAACCUGCAGGUUUUAUUUCCCUCACCUUCUUGGCUGCCAGCUGAGGACUCUGAAUGGCCCCCACGGUGAUCUCUGCCAGGGCUGGCUCUGCUGAGCCCUCCACGAACUCCAGGAGCAGGAGAAGGGACCUCACUGCUUCUUGUGGCCCUGAACAAACAGCAGCCAGGUCAGCUCUGAGCCAGCCAAAACUGAGCCCUUGGCAUUUGGAGCCAACACAAACUGCACCAGGAUGGUUCAGAACAAAGUGAUGUGGCAAACCAGGAGCUGGCACAGACAGAGAGAUCCUUUCACAGAGUUAGAGAGGAAUUCAGGAAAAGGACUUUGGAUAAUUUGCAAUUGCAAACUGCAAUUAUUACUUGUUUAUCAAGUUCCAGGCUCGUUUUCUAGCCCAUGGCACACACCUCUGUGUAUUUUAUUCCUACUUAUGUGUGUGUGCUUGGACUUACUUACAGCUCAGGAGACAGGAGCUGUUUGCAUCCUGUCCCAAGAAAUUAAGGAAGAGCAACUUCAAACUCCCAGAAGUUUCAUAACAGGACAAACAGGAGAAUCCAGGAUAUGUGGUUGUAUAUGAAACAAUUUCUUAAACAUUUAAUACACCUCAGAGAGGUGGCAGAAAGCAAAUGGAUCUUAAUUCUUCACAGUAGUAUUACAUUAUAAUAAUAUUUUCAAAGAAGCUGCAGAGAAGACCAUCAUUAAGACAAAACUGCAUUCACAUGAAGAGAAAAACUUUCCUUAAGAGAAACUUUUGUGGUAUUUUUGUGUAUUAUGAAUAUAUGCUGUAACUUAAUGCUUAUUUUUUCAGAAAUACAGGAAAAAUUGCCUUUAAUUUCCUUUUUUCUUAAAGGAGAGGACAUUCCCAAGGCUGAUCCCUCCCUGUUCCACAAUAAACACUGGUGGCACUUUA